rnacentral:rRNA from 1 species
GCAGAGCAUCCUACGGGAGGCAGCAGUGGGGAAUAUUGCACAAUGGGCGCAAGCCUGAUGCAGCCAUGCCGCGUGUAUGAAGAAGGCCUUCGGGUUGUAAAGUACUUUCAGCAGUGAGGAAGGUGGAUAUGUUAAUAGCAUAUUCAUUUGACGUUAGGCUGCAGAAGAAGCACCGGCUAACUCCGUGCCAGCAGCCGCGGUAAUACGGAGGGUGCGAGCGUUAAUCGGAAUUACUGGGCGUAAAGCGCAUGCAGGUGGUUUGUUAAGUCAGAUGUGAAAGCCCCGGGGCUCAACCUCGGAAUUGCAUUUGAAACUGGCAAACUAGAGUACUGUAGAGGGGGUAGAAUUUCAGGUGUAGCGGUGAAAUGCGUAGAGAUCUGAAGGAAUACCGGUGGCGAAGGCGGCCCCCUGGACAGAUACUGACACUCAGAUGCGAAAGCGUGGGGAGCAAACAGGAUUAGAUACCCUGGUAG